rnacentral:lncRNA from 1 species
CAGCGUUGUUGACGAAGUCGACGGUGUCACCAGACUUAAUCGUGACGGUGGAUGGCUCGAACACCAGGGCACCAGAGUCAGCACCCAGCUUCACGGUGGCAGCGUGGGCCGACAGAGUCACAGCCAGCGAAGCGACCGAGACACCAGCAACGGAGGCCACGCGGCUAACAGCGGCCUUCAGCGAGGCAACCGGGCGAACGGCGCCGGCGCGGGAGGCGGGAGCACGCAGAGUAGCCUUCAUUUUUGAUGAUUUCGAUGAUACGCUGUCACCAGGUAUGAUUUCUGAAGUUUCACAUGGCAGUUUAUGGAGACGCAAGCGGUACGACGGAUGAGGAGAUUUCACAAGGCCCUGCAAACCACGACCUCAAACAUCGGCUGCGUGCAUUUUCCCUUGGAUGGCAUUUGUAAUUGUAUUCUACAAAGGGUCUUACCAAUCUUCUGUAACAUGUUGUCCAUUAUUUGUUCUUGUGCUGACUCAGGACUUGACGCCUUUCUCUACAAUGGCUUAAACAUCAAUACGUGCUUCUGUGGAC